rnacentral:tRNA from 1 species
AGAAACUUAGGAUAAUCCACCUACUAAACCGAAGGCCUUCAAAGCCUUAGACAAGAGUUAAAACCUCUUAGUUUCUG